AUGAAAUCUCCCUGCAGUGUGAACAGCUGAACUUAAUAUAGAGGAAAUUUCUCAAAGAAGUGCCCUGGUGCCUAGCAAAUGUGCCUGUCAAAAAGGGUUGCUCCUUUCUGGGUAUUUGUUUUAGCAAGUCCCAGCCUACAGGAUUACACAGAGUGGCUGAGGAUAGAUUUCUGCUUUAAGCAGGUUUUCAUUUUGUAGCUUUGAAAAUUACACUUUUCAUUAGCAUAAAUGUGACAGCAGAUUAAAGAAUGAAAUUCUAUUUAACAAAAAGAACUUCAAGCUAAUAAUUCUUCAGAUAACCAAGAUACGAAGUUCCGAAGAUCAGCACAAUUUCUUCUAACAGGGUCUCCAUGCAAAGAACAGAAGUCACACUGUGCCUGCCAAAGUCCAGAAGCUUUCCUGCACUGUCAGGCACAUACCAUGUCAAGCAUCCAAGCAGUUGGAGUUGAAAGAAGAAAGAGGGGAGAAGGAACGAAUGACAAGCAGGUCCCAGGACUCGUCACUAGAAAGGCAUCUGGCCCCAGCACACGACAUGCUACAGAAGAAAAUCCUGCCAUAGCAUCCUCCUCACAGCACCAACAAGGAUGCCCAAAUCUCCUGAGACACAAAGCACACAUCAUAUGGCCAAGAGCCACAGCACACCCCCACACACCUUGGACAGCUGACAGCUGAGGCAGAUCCAGAAGUGGUGAAGAUGAUUCACAAAAUGGAAGACUGACAUUCACAACUCUCCAGGCUCCUGCUCCGACCCAAGCUAACUGCAGCUGGCCAGCACAACGUGGGGGCAAUUUCAGCACGCUCAUCUGGUCUGCCUUGUCCACACCCAGAGAAACAGAUUAUUCAGCAGCCCCCACUACCACAGGCUCUUUUGAGGGGCUACAUUUGGACUGUUCAAAGCUAUAAAAGAUUCAGCAACCAGCAAGUCUGCAUGUGUUGUAAAUGAGCUGCUUGUCCUUCUGGUUUAAUUUUCUUUAGAGCUGAAGGAAAUGGGUCCAGAUGACAUCAACCCUGUGUAGAAGAUGGCUCUCAGAAACAUCUAUAUGUACAUUCAGAAGAGAUUUAGACUGUUUUCCCAUAUAUAAUCCACCAUCCCUGACACCUUCGUGUGGUAGGUGAAGUCUGAACAACCAGGAUCUGAGCAUACCAAAGCAAACACAUCCCUGCAUUAACAGCCCACUACUGGGUGCAUCUCUGAACACACAACAGCCCCAAAAGCUGAGAGUUUCCUUCACACAGAGAGGAGUGGUUCCCACUCUGGGUAGCUGUGUUGUCCUCCUGCAAUGCACCUUCACACGCGAAUGCUCCGCU
rnacentral:lncRNA from 1 species